GGAGGACACCACUGGAGUGUCAUGCACACUCCCCUGACCCCUGGCCUGAGAUGCCAGCAGAUGGACACACCUGCAGAACUCCCGUUCAGAGCUGGUGUAGAAAAGCAAAAGAACACUCAAGGCCGUGCAUCAUCAUCCUCAUCCUCAUCCUCAUCGUCCCUGCACUUUCAAUGAGCUCCAUGUUUCACAGCAAGACGACGUUCUCUGGGGCUGGAGUUACACAGCGGGGAGAAAAGCGCUUCCCAUCCUGAAACCGGACCCUCCGGACCCUCUCUGCGCCGCGGCUGCUCUGCCAGCGUCCGCAGGAGCUCCGGGAUUAAAGCGCCGCCGCCGUCCAAUCAGA